UCGAAAACAGUUGAUCAUUUGCAAAUAGAGCUGAUACUGCUGAUGAGUGUGAUACUGUUUGAGGUUGAAUGUUGGGAAGGUAGAAUGCAUAUUUAAUUCUUUACUGUACGUAACGAUCUAUCAUUGCCUACGAUUAAAUUUAACCAAAUUAAAACAAAAGAGCAAAAUCGAAUAUACUAAACAAGUUAAUGCCGUAACUUCUCUGAUUUUCAUUAUAUUU